UACGGAGGGUGCAAGCGUUGUCCGGAUUUAUUGGGUUUAAAGGGUGCGUAGGUGGCUAUUUAAGUCAGUGGUGAAAGCCUGCAGCUUAACUGUAGGACUGCCAUUGAUACUGAAUAGCUUGAGUACUGAUGAGGUAGGCGGAAUUGAUAGUGUAGCGGUGAAAUGCAUAGAUAUUAUCAAGAACACCGAUUGCGAAGGCGGCCUUCUGGACGAUGACUGACGCUGAGACGCGAAAGCGUGGGGAGCAAACAGG
rnacentral:rRNA from 1 species